rnacentral:rRNA from 1 species
GUGGGGAAUCUUGCGCAAUGGGCGAAAGCCUGACGCAGCAACGCCGCGUGGGGUAUGAAGGCUCUCGGGUUGUAAACCCCUUUCAGCAGGGACGAAUCAAGACGGUACCUGCAGAAGAAGCCCCGGCUAACUACGUGCCAGCAGCCGCGGUAACACGUAGGGGGCAAGCGUUGUCCGGAUUUAUUGGGCGUAAAGAGCUCGUAGGUGGCUGAGUAAGUCGGAUGUCAAAUCCCCAGGCUCAACCUGGGAUCCCAUCCGAUACUGCUCUGGCUAGAGUCCGGUAGGGGAGCGUGGAAUUCCUGGUGUAGCGGUGAAAUGCGCAGAUAUCAGGAGGAACACCAGCGGCGAAGGCGGCGCUCUGGGCCGGUACUGACACUGAGGAGCGAAAGCGUGGGUAGCAAACAGGAUUAGAAACCCGAGUAGUCC